rnacentral:rRNA from 1 species
GACGAACGCUGGCGGCGUGCUUAACACAUGCAAGUCGAACGAGGGACAUUGGGGAGCUUGCUUCCCGGUGUUUCGAGUGGCGGACGGGUGAGUAACGCGUGAGGAACCUGGCUUUUGCAGGGGGAUAGCGUCUCGAAAGGGACGGUAAUACCGCAUAAGACCACGACACCGCAUGGUGAAGGGGUCAAAGGAGGAAUCCGGCAGAAGAUGGCCUCGCGUCCCAUUAGGCAGUUGGCGGGGUAAAGGCCCACCAAACCGACGAUGGGUAGCCGACCUGAGAGGGUGAUCGGCCACAUUGGAACUGAGAGACGGUCCAAACUCC